rnacentral:rRNA from 1 species
UACGUGGGGGGCAAGCGUUGUCCGGAUUCAUUGGGCGUAAAGAGCUCGUAGGCGGUUCGGCAAGUCGGGUGUGAAAACUCCAGGCUCAACCUGGAGACGCCACCCGAUACUGCUGUGACUUGAGUCCGGUAGGGGACCACGGAAUUCCUGGUGUAGCGGUGAAAUGCGCAGAUAUCAGGAGGAACACCGGUGGCGAAGGCGGAUCUCUGGGCCUUACCUGACGCUCAGGUGCGAAAGCUAGGGGAGCGAACAGG